GGAUCGCUAGCUCCAACGGUCAGAGCAGCCGACUCUUACUCGGCGGGUUCGGGGUUCGAAUCCCCGGCGAUCCAC
rnacentral:tRNA from 1 species